UACGGAGGGUGCAAGCGUUAUCCGGAUUCACUGGGUUUAAAGGGUGCGUAGGCGGGCAGGUAAGUCCGUGGUGAAAUCCCCGAGCUUAACUCGGGAACUGCCAUGGAUACUAUUUGUCUUGAAUAUUGUGGAGGUAAGCGGAAUAUGUCAUGUAGCGGUGAAAUGCUUAGAUAUGACAUAGAACACCAAUUGCGUAGGCAGCUUGCUACACUGUUAUUGACACUGAGGCACGAAAGCGUGGGGAUCAAACAGG
rnacentral:rRNA from 1 species